GACGGAGGAUGCAAGUGUUAUCCGGAAUCACUGGGCGUAAAGCGUCUGUAGGUGGUUCGAAAAGUCCACUGUUAAAAAUUGAGGCUUAACUUCAAAGAUGCCGUGGAAACUUUCAAACUAGAGUAUGGUAGGGGUAGAGGGAAUUUCCAGUGGAGCGGUGAAAUGCGUAGAUAUCGAGAGGAACACCAGUGGCGAAGGCGAGUCCCUGGAAAACACCUGACACUGAGGCACGAAAGCUAGGGGAGCAAACAGG
rnacentral:rRNA from 1 species